rnacentral:rRNA from 1 species
AGUGAACGCUGGCGGUAGGCCUAACACAUGCAAGUCGAACGGCAGCACAGGAGAGCUUGCUCUCUGGGUGGCGAGUGGCGGACGGGUGAGGAAUACAUCGGAAUCUACUCUGUCGUGGGGGAUAACGUAGGGAAACUUACGCUAAUACCGCAUACGACCUACGGGUGAAAGCAGGGGAUCUUCGGACCUUGCGCGAUUGAAUGAGCCGAUGUCGGAUUAGCUAGUUGGCGGGGUAAAGGCCCACCAAGGCGACGAUCCGUAGCUGGUCUGAGAGGAUGAUCAGCACACUGGAACUGAGACACGGUCCAGACUCCUACGGGAGGCAGCAGUGGGGAAUAUUGGACAAUGGGCGCAAGCCUGAUCCAGCCAUACCGCGUGGGUGAAGAAGGCCUUCGGGUUGUAAAGCCCUUUUGUUGGGAAAGAAAUCCAGCUGGCUAAUACCCGGUUGGGAUGACGGUACCCAAAGAAUAAGCACCGGCUAACUUCGUGCCAGCCGCCGCAGUAA